CAUCCUCUGUGUCCUCAAUUCUGCCGCAGUUGCCAUGGUAACACCACCCUGCACUCAGCCUGUGGAAGACAGUAAAAUGCAGACAUUUUACUGUUUUCACGUCUCGGGAGAGAAGGAAGGCUGUUGCUCCAUGCCAGCCACAGGGAUAACCGCAUUGGAUCAUUUCCUCUCAGACAGGAAGCACUUGAAAUAACAAGCCAAGAAGCGAGCAGGAAGAAGAAUCUGUGAAGAUCAUUGUCUUGUAUUUCCCUCAAGUUCUUAUGAGGAAAUCAUCAACCUUGUGUGGUACUCCCAGCACAGCCUCUCAGUUUCCCUCCUUCACAGCUGUGUGAGCUCCAUGUUGCCAGGCCUACAUAUGAUGGACAGUGGUGCCUCCUGAACAGAGGAAGGCCCAGUGCAAGGCAUAAAACUAAGCAGGAAGACGGCAAGAUGAGGAAGCCGGACAGAUCUGUGGCCGUGGCUGAUGUCAAACAGAGCACAACUUUCAGCAAAACCCCUCUCUAACUGACCAGGUCCUCAGCCGUUGCUCUGCUAAUUUAAAUUCAGAGAAAACAAGCAUCCAGACCUCACUAGGUUCCUGGGGAUGUAAGAAAAGUUCAGAAAGUCGGAAAGAGAUACUGGACAACCAUCCCAGAUGGCAGGAGCUCCUAGGCAGUCUCUCCCAGCCACACACAUGGAAAGCAUUUCUCUCCUGGGAAGACUGUUGAAAUCAAGCUUUCCAGUGAUUCAUUAACAGCUGAAAGCAUGUGGUCCUUUCUUGGGCAGUUCUGGACUGUUUAGUCUUUUCCUUCCCUUUUUGUUUUCUCUGGGAAAUACAGAUGACCACCAUGAAAACGGCAUGCCCUAAAGACCAUGAGUGGCAUGGCUGUGGCCUCUCCCUGCUCCUGGUUCCAUACUGAUGGACAUGCAGAGAUAGAUGAAAAAGGAACCAUGGAAAGCAAGGACCCCAGCAACCCAGGAGUUUUGGUACUAUUUCUUCUCAGAUAAAGAAACAUUACUAGGAAAAGGGUACGUGAAUUCUGUUUCAGACUCAAAGGCUUCGGGAAGAAAUGAAGUGAGGAGGAAAGAAGGGGCCUGGGCAAAGAAAUAAGCUGCAAAAUCAAUGUUGCCUUAAAUAGAUACGCCAAAAUUUACCUUCACCGCUCUCUUGGGGGUGUUUAUAAUUAUCACGUAUUAGAAACAAGCACUGUGACCAUCUAUAUUUUUAAGUAGUUCAAUAAAUUGUAAUCAUCUA